CCUACGGGAGACAGCAGUGGGGAAUAUUGGGCAAUGGGCGCAAGCCUGACCCAGCAACGCCGCGGGAAGGAAGAAGGCCCUCGGGUUGUAAACUUCUUUUGUCAGGGACGAAGAAAGUGACGGUACCUGACGAAUAAGCCACGGCUAACUACGUGCCAUCAGCCGCGGUAAUACGGAGGUGGCAAGCGUUAUCCGGGUUUACGGGGUGUAAAGGGCGUGUAGGCGGGACUGCAAGUCAGAUGUGAAAUUUCAGGGCUAAACCCUUGGACUGGAUUUGAAACUGGAGUUCUGGAGGGAUGGGGGGGCAGGCGGAAUUCGGGGUGUAGCGGGGAAAUGCGUAGGUAUACGGAGGAACACCAGGGGCGAAGGCGGCCUGUUGGACAUUAACUGACGCUGAGGCGCGAAAGCGUGGGGAGCAAACAGGAUUAGAUACCCGUGUAGUC
rnacentral:rRNA from 1 species